AGACGACCUAGCUCUCGGUCGGGGUGUCGUACUUAGUAGAGCAGCCACCACACUGCGAUCUAUUGAGACUAAGCCUCUCGACUAGGAGAUUUGUUCCGCAUUCAAAGACGGGCAAUACUCUCCGCCGUCCAGUUGUACUCUCUGCUCUGCCUCGGAAGGGGUGGUAGCAGGGCAGUUCUGGCAAUCGAGUUUGAUUUUUUUUUUUCAUUUUUUUUUUCGAUUUCCCUCAACGAUACCCACGUUUAGAAAUAGUGCGUUUUCCGUACUUUGUGAAUUUUUUCUUUUUUGUUUUCGCUCUCUAUCUGCUUGUGUAUGUGAUGCAGCGAGGCAAGAGGCAAGGGUGACGUAGGCCUAGCAUGGCUUGGGCGACUGAUGCUCGAUUACCUAUGGAUCAGUCCCCUGUUGCAGUCGUGCAGUGAUGGCCCGCCGAGCCGCAGCCGAGCCGAGCUGUGUUUACGUUCGCAGUGGUGUAAGGGAGACAACUCUUACUUUUUCUGUCUCUCGUGGUCGAUACCCACAUUCAGAAAAUCAGCAAGUGCGCCUCGUGGAUACCCACAUUCAGAAAGUGGUCGAUUUUCAUACUUUGUCAUUUUUUCCAUUUGGCAGAACCACCUGAAGAGGGGUUCUGGAGCGGCCAGUCCUGCUCGGAGCAAUACGUACCCGGCGCCAUCCGAAAGAGCUGGGCAAGACCUUUCCAACAGUACCGGUACCAGGUCACUGCGAGGUGGCGUUCGGCCACAGCAGCCGUUUAUGUGCUAUACGGUCUGUUCUCAUUGAUACCCACGCGGAGAAACUACUGGCUGGUCAUACCCACACUAGUAAAGUGCUGUAAAGUGUUGAUUAUACCCACAUUAAGAAAGUGGUGCAUUUUCAUACUUUGUCGUUUUUCACACAGCCAAGUUAAAUUCAUGCAGCCGUUCUCAGAGAUACCCACGUUAGGAAAGUAGUGCCUUUUCGUACUUUGUCAUUUGAUGAGUGCUUCUGCAGUAGGGGUCGGGCAUGUUUCGGCGGCGCUGCAGUGGCCGCCCGUUCCGUCAUUUGGUCUUCCUAUGUGCCAGUGGACGGGGCUUGACGAGACCUUUCCAACGGUAGCGGGACCAGCCGGCUCCGACGUCUCAUGAGCGAGCUGUGGCCGAUUACGUGCAAAAGAAUUGGUUUAACGCCAUUUGAACAGCACAAAGCCCGCCCUGGAGUGGCAGACCGAACUCUCAGCCCGUCUUGCUAGGUGCCAACGGACGUGUCUGGCAGAGACCCGUCCAACGGUACCAAGAUCACCGGGAUGCGCGCCCGGCUGUGGCCAGGGCGACCGAUUUUGCGCUUUGUCACCCGUUUUCGCGACGCUGCAGCGCGAAAAAUGGCUCUACAGCGGCCUCCGGACGGGCAAGCCCGCUUUGCUCGGUACCGUUGAAAUGCACAUUGACAUACCUUUGCAACGAUACCAACAUCAUGCCACUGCGACGAGCCGUUCGAGCGUGGCGGCCGAUUCAGUGCUCCCAGAGGAGGGGUCUAGCGCCUUUCUGCGGCGAUGCAGCGGCCACCCGUUCCGUCAGUGGGCCUUCCCAGGUGCCAGUGGACGGGGCUCGUCGAGACCUUUCCAACGGUAGCGGGACCAGCCGGCUCCGACGUCUCAUGAGCGAGCUGUGGACGAUUAUGUGCAAAAGAGUUGGUUUAACGCCAUUUGAACAGCACAAAGCCCGCCCUAGAGUGGCACACCGAUCUCUCAGCCCGGUUUGCUAGGUGCCAACGGACGUGACUGGCAGAGACCCGUCCAACGGUACCAAGAUCACCGAGAUGCGAGCCCGGCUGUGGCCAGGGUGACCGAUUUUGCGCUUUGUCACCCGUUUUCGCGACGCUGCAGCCCGAGAAAUGGCUCUACAGCGGCCUUCCGACGGCCAAGCCCGCUUUGCUCGGUACCGUUGAAAUGCACAUUGACGUACCUUUGCAACGUUACCAACAUCAUGCCACUGGGACGAGCCGUUCGACCGUGGCGGCCGAUUCAGUGCUCCCAGAGGAGGGGACUAGCGCCUUUCUGCGGCGAUGCAGCGGCCACGCGUUCCGACAGUGGGCCUUCCCAGGUGCCAGUGGACGGGGCUCGUCGAGACCUUUCCAACGGUAGCGGGACCAGCCGGCUCCGACGUCUCAUGAGCGAGCUGUGGACGAUUAUGUGCAAAAGAGUUGGUUUAACGCCAUUUGAACAGCACAAAGCCCGCCCUAGAGUGGCACACCGAUCUCUCAGACCGGUUUGCUAGGUGCCAACGGACGUGCCUGGCAGAGACCCGUCCAACGGUACCAAGAUCACCGAGAUGCGAGCCCGGCUGUGGCCAGGGCGACCGAUUUUGCGCUUUGUCACCCGUUUUCGCGACGCUGCAGCACGGAAAAUGGCUCUACAGCGGCCGCCCGUUCCGUCAGUGGGCCUUCCUAGGCACCGGUGGACGGGGCUCGCCGAGACCUUUCCAACGGUACCUAAAUCACGGAGAUGCGAGCUCGGCUGUGUCCAGGGGGCCAAUUGAACGCUUCCUGGAGGUGAUUCAGCUACUGGGGCUGCUGCGGUGAUUCCCCGAUGAGGUUUUCCGCCCCUGCUGGCCAAACGGUAAGUGGUACGACCUCGGGACCUUCACUUGUCUCGGAUCACUCGGCGAGCCGCUUCGAAUGAGACCGGUCCCAGCUCCCUACGGCCAGCCGUUCUCCCGCUGCGCCUGCCUGCUCGAGUGCCGGCCGUGCCCUUGGAGGCCCCCUGCUUUUUAGUUUUCCGCCCCUGCAGCCUAAACGGUUGGUGCCACGACCUGGAGACCUUCACUUGUCUCGGAUCACUCGGCGAGCCGCUUCGAAUGAGACCGGUCCCAGCUCUCUGCGACCACCCGUUCUCAAAUUCGGUCUCUCGGCCAUGUGCACUAGGGAAAUCCUGGGUCUUUUCAAGCAAACAGGCCGUUGGUCGACCCUGCCGUUUCGUUUUUCCAUCCUGCUGCCCAAACGGUUGGUGCCACGGUCUUGAGACUUUCACUUCUUUCGGAUCACUCGGCGAGCUGCGUCGAAUGAGACCGGUCCCAGCUCUCUACGACCAGCCGUUCUCGAGUUACGCUUUCGAGCGAAGGAGCUGCUUGUGCACAGGGGAAAUCCUGGGUCUUUCCAAGCCGCUCUACCCUCCUGUUUUGUUUUUCCAUCCUGCUGCCCAAACGGUUGGUGCCACGGUCUUGAGACUUUCACUUCGGUCGGAUCACUCGGCGAGCUGCGUCGAAUGAGACCGGUCCCAGCUCUCUACGACCAGCCGUUUGGCCGCUACAGCGGUUUUGAUUUCUGUCGAUACCCACAUUUUAAUCGCAAGAUCUAUAUAUAAGGGAGCAUGAGUAGAAGCAAAUGGGCUAUCUCCAGUAUGUAUAGCAAAAUGAUAUGGGAGAAGCGGCUGCCUCGGCGAAGAUAGAUAGGGGACUGCCGCUUCUCCGCCGAACACUGCUGGACGGUACAUAUAGUCCCGGAGUCUGCCCGACGACCCAGGUGGUUGGCAGCGGGGAGACCGUGUAUAAGGGCCCCUUGCAGUAGGGGAGCUCAGCCGUCGAUAGGCGGCUGGAGCCGGCCGGUGUGCAGCGGCGAUCGGCCGAGAGCUGGCGAAUAGUGGGGUCCAGGCUGUAGGCUGAGGAGCAGGGAGAGAGCUGGCAUGUGGCGGCGUCCCGGCUGUAGGCCGAACAGCGGGGAGAACGCUGGCAUAUAGAGGGGUCCCGGCUGUAGACUGAACAGCAGGGAGGGAGCUGGCAUAUAGCGGCGUCGUCCCGGCUGUAGGCUCGGUAGCAGGGCGAGAACGGUGCUCUCUCCUUCUAGCGCGGCCGAUACACCGUAUCUCCGCUGGCCAGACCGGGGACGCCGGGUGUCUCGGCGAAGAUAGAUAGGCGACUGCCGCUUCUUCGCCGAAGACUGCUAGACGAUACAUCUAGUCCCAAAGUCGGCCGGGCAACUGCGGUGGUUGGCAGCGGGGAGACCGUGUGUAAGGGCCCCUUGCAGUAAGGGAGCUCAGCCGUCGAUAGGCGGCUGGAGCCGGCCAGUGUGCAGCGGCGAUCGGCCGAGAGCUGGCGUAUAGUCGGGUCCCGGCUGUAGGCUGAACAGCAGGGAGAGAGCUGGCAUAUAGCGGCGUCCCGGCUGUAGGCUGAACAGCAGGGAGAGAGCUGGCAUAUAGCGGGGUCCCUGCUGCAGGCUCAGUAGCAGGGAGAGAACGGUGCUCUCCUCUUCUAGCGCGGCCGAUACACGGUAUCUGUUUUCUGGCUAGGUCGGGGACGCCGGGUGCCUGCCUGCCAACUACGGGCGAUCGUUCACUCCGAGCGGCCUUAAAGAAGGGCGUUCUCGGCGGGACGAUCGUCCAGUAUUUAUUCAAGGGGUACUAGUUGAUACCCACGUAUGGUGUCUGUGUGCAAUCAGUGCCGGCUCCAGGUACGGGCGAUCGUUCACUCCGAGAGGCCGAGAAGAAGGGAGUUCUCGGCGGAGAUGCAUUAAGAGGCACUCAUUGAUACGCACGCAUAGAAUCUGUGUGCGCCAGAAGAUACCCACAUUUUAAUCGCAAGAUCUAUAUAUGUAGGGCGGUUGCUCGAGUUGGGAGCGAGAAAGGGAGGUGGUCCAGUAAUGUGGCAGCCUUCUGGAAUCGUUUCUGCGGCAGUGACCGUCCGAAGCGUUGACACUGGCUUACGAGUCGCCGAGCCGGCUGUCGACCCUCGCACGAAGCAAAAAAUGCGAAACGGCGAGACGUCCAGCGGACGGCAGUGGCCGACGAUCGUGGAAAGGCAUGCCCUCCUCGCGGAAGGAAGCCCAGUACUGCGUCGCGUCGCUGCCAAUAAGCUCUGGCGCAUGAAGGGGGCCUUCUGGCCCGCCCUAUGACACGGGUCUCGAGUAGCGUGGUGUGGGCCAUUGCUUUCGCUCUUACAGAGCCUGGCAGGUCCUGCGAGUCGAGUCCGGCCUAGUCCGGGUCUGCGACGGCGAACACACGAAAGGCGCACUGCGCCAGAAAAAACGAAGCCAUCGGCCCCAUUGAAUGGGGGAUCAUUAGGCGAUGGCGAGAGAACGACCCCCGCUCCUCUCGAAAGCUGGCGAGAGUCUUGAAAAAAAGAGGGGACAGGUAUGGUAAAAUUUCAGUCGUCUUGUCUCGCACAGACGCAGGGAAGUUUCGGCGAACGCCGCUUCCGAAAACAGACGGGGACCGCCGUCACUGCAAGGAGGGGCACCCCAUGCCGGGAGCUCGCCGCGCGGUGGUCGGCCGGUCGCCGGGCGAAAGAGAAGCAGCCGUGCUCGCUUUGCCUUUUGCCGCAGCCGUAGUAGGGACGAACCCAGCAGAAGCGGGCCAUCUCGGUGGUGGCUUUUGCAACGGGAGCGACCCGAACAAGCGGCGGCUGGCGAUGCUAAGCACGAGCGGCGUCUCGAAGUAG
rnacentral:misc_RNA from 1 species